rnacentral:rRNA from 1 species
CCUACGGGAGGCAGCAGUGAGGAAUAUUGGUCAAUGGGCGUAAGCCUGAACCAGCCAAGUCGCGUGAGGGAUGAAGGUUCUAUGGAUCGUAAACCUCUUUUAUAAGGGAAUAAAGUGUGGGACGUGUCCUAUUUUGUAUGUACCUUAUGAAUAAGGAUCGGCUAACUCCGUGCCAGCAGCCGCGGUAAUACGGAGGAUCCGAGCGUUAUACGGAUUUAUUGGGUUUAAAGGGUGCGUAGGCGGCCUUUGAAGUCAGCGGUGAAAGUCUGUGGCUCAACCAUAGAAUUGCCGUUGAUACUGGGGGGCUUGAGUAUGUUUGAGGCAGGCGGAAUGCGGGGUGUUGCGGGGAAAUGCUUAGAGAUCACGCAGAACCCCGAUUGCGAAGGCAGCCUGCCAAGCCAUGACUGACGCUGAUGCACGAAAGCGUGGGGAUCAAACAGGAUUAGAUACCCGGGUAGUC